GGUGAACAGAAUGAGUGUGAUUACGGCAGCUGAGUCAUAACUAUAAAGGCAGCUGCAGCCACAGCACAAACGUUUACCUUCAGAGGUGAUCAGCUUUGCUAUCGGUGUAGAGGGCAACAUGAUGAUUCAGGAUAUGUUCAGGUCAAACUGGUGAAGGCUACCACUCCAGAGGUUCUGGAUAUAGAAGAGGCAGUACUGGGUGGUGCUGCCUUUUGACAUCAAUACAGGCUAUGGUUCUGCCAGCAGCUUCUCUGAUGUUGGCACUGGCUAUUCAGCCACCCAAGAUGCAGCUAUUGCUCAGAUGGUUACUUGCUGCGCCUGAGCCCCUAUGGUAGCCGUUCUCUCCUCUAGUCUCACUGGAGCUCUCACCAUGUUCCUAUGGGGAUGGUUGAGACCCACCCCGUGUACCCUUCAUCCCUCAUCGUCCACACAAACAGCGGCUACCAUUGAGCACGAGACUUCCAUACUGACUCCAAAUACACCGAGGAUACAUUUGACCGACAUUCCUCAACCUGGAACACCACAGAACCCAGGAAGUGGGUCUAAAGGACACCAGCUGGGCUAGUGAGCAGGUGAAACAAGCUGAAGAAUCAGCCUCUGGAAGUGAAUCUCUGUAACUUUAUCUUAAUAAACAUGUUUAAAAAAUA